rnacentral:rRNA from 1 species
AGUGGCGGACGGGUGAGUAACGCGUGGGUAACCUGCCUCACACUGGGGGACAACAGUUAGAAAUGACUGCUAAUACCGCAUAAGCGCACAGGACCGCAUGGUCCGGUGUGAAAAACUCCGGUGGUGUGAGAUGGACCCGCGUUUGAUUAGCUAGUUGGUGGGGUAACGGCCUACCAAGGCGACGAUCAAUAGCCGACCUGAGAGGGUGACCGGCCACAUUGGGACUGAGACACGGCCCAAACUCCUACGGGAGGCAGCAGUGGGGAAUAUUGGGCAAUGGGGGAAACCCUGACCCAGCAACGCCGCGUGAAGGAAGAAGGCUUUCGGGUUGUAAACUUCUUUUACCAGGGACGAAGAAAGUGACGGUACCUGGAGAAAAAGCCACGGCUAACUACGUGCCAGCAGCCGCGGUAAUACGUAGGUGGCAAGCGUUGUCCGGAUUUACUGGGUGUAAAGGGCGUGUAGGCGGAGAUGCAAGUCAGAUGUGAAAUCCCCGGGCUUAACCCGGGAACUGCAUUUGAAACUGUAUCCCUUGAGUAUCGGAGAGGCAGGCGGAAUUCCUAGUGUAGCGGUGAAAUGCGUAGAUAUUAGGAGGAACACCAGUGGCGAAGGCGGCCUGCUGGACGACAACUGACGCUGA